AGUCGAACGCUUCUUUUUCCACCGGAGCUUGCUCCACCGGAAAAAGAGGAGUGGCGAACGGGUGAGUAACACGUGGGUAACCUGCCCAUCAGAAGGGGAUAACACUUGGAAACAGGUGCUAAUACCGUAUAACAAUCAAAACCGCAUGGUUUUGAUUUGAAAGGCGCUUUCGGGUGUCGCUGAUGGAUGGACCCGCGGUGCAUUAGCUAGUUGGUGAGGUAACGGCUCACCGAGGCCACGAUGCAUAGCCGACCUGAGAGGGUGAUCGGCCACAUUGGGACUGAGACACGGCCCAAACUCCUACGGGAGGCAGCAGUAGGGAAUCUUCGGCAAUGGACGAAAGUCUGACCGAGCAACGCCGCGUGAGUGAAGAAGGUUUUCGGAUCGUAAAACUCUGUUGUUAGAGAAGAACAAGGAUGAGAGUAACUGUUCAUCCCUUGACGGUAUCUAACCAGAAAGCCACGGCUAACUACGUGCCAGCAGCCGCGGUAAUACGUAGGUGGCAAGCGUUGUCCGGAUUUAUUGGGCGUAAAGCGAGCGCAGGCGGUUUCUUAAGUCUGAUGUGAAAGCCCCCGGCUCAACCGGGGAGGGUCAUUGGAAACUGGGAGACUUGAGUGCAGAAGAGGAGAGUGGAAUUCCAUGUGUAGCGGUGAAAUGCGUAGAUAUAUGGAGGAACACCAGUGGCGAAGGCGGCUCUCUGGUCUGUAACUGACGCUGAGGCUCG
rnacentral:rRNA from 1 species